rnacentral:rRNA from 1 species
AACGAACGCUGGCGGCAUGCCUAACACAUGCAAGUCGAACGAGACCUUCGGGUCUAGUGGCGCACGGGUGCGUAACACGUGGGAAUCUGCCCUUUGCUUCGGAAUAACAGUUAGAAAUGACUGCUAAUACCGGAUGAUGUCGAAAGACCAAAGAUUUAUCGGCAAAGGAUGAGCCCGCGUAGGAUUAGGUAGUUGGUGGGGUAAAGGCCUACCAAGCCGACGAUCCUUAGCUGGUCUGAGAGGAUGAUCAGCCACACUGGGACUGAGACACGGCCCAGACUCCUACGGGAGGCAGCAGUGGGGAAUAUUGGACAAUGGGCGAAAGCCUGAUCCAGCAAUGCCGCGUGAGUGAUGAAGGCCUUAGGGUUGUAAAGCUCUUUUACCAGGGAUGAUAAUGACAGUACCUGGAGAAUAAGCUCCGUCUAACUCCGUG